rnacentral:lncRNA from 1 species
UGGAGUCUUUAGGCAUACAGGCAACAAGAUAUUUUAUGCGCCUACUAUGUGCCAAGCUCUCAGUAGGUUCCUAGAAACACAAAGAUAAGGAAGUAGCGUUCCCUAGGUUACUCAGAAGGUUGCUGGCAGGAAGAUAGUGCUGUCUGGUAGUCCAGCUUGGAGGAUUCACUGUACUGUGCUGGUGGUGAAGCCCUCCCUGAGUCUUUCUUCUCUGGUGUGACACAAAGGUCUACUCUACACCCACUGUGACCUCUGCAUCCUUCUUGAUAUAACUUCCAGGCAUUGGCUACCCAUCAGUCAGGCUUGGUUCAGAAAGUAUACACAAUGGGGGCUGUAUUGUUAACAACAUAACACAUGUUGUGGUGAGCAUUCAGCAGAUGGCCUAUGACCUGGACCCUAACGGAUGAGGACAUGUCUACAGUCUAGGAACUUCCAGGUCCCCUUCAUGAUGUCUCUUUUAUGCUGGUUUAUUAGCAACUUGGAAGGGACGUGAUUUAUGGCAACACAACUUCCUUUUUAGUGGCAGUGGGUCUUAUCCAGCACCCUUCAAAUAGGGACACCAGGAAAACCAGACCCUGGAGUCGGGCAGAGGCUCCAGGUGGAGGUCCUGCUGGACCAGUCUGUUGGAAGGAGUCCAGGGAGCUGGGCCACCUGCUGGGUUUUCUUUGGCAGAAGGAAGUUCAGCUCUCGAUGCAGCUGUUGCCAACCAGGGCAGGGACAGUGAACUCAGAGUGCUCCACAGAACCUGGCAUUGGGGACUGGAGUAGGGGUGAGGAGGGAAAGGCUGGGGUGGCAACAGGCAAGGCACCAGGCCAAAAGAGACAGGAAAUAUUCUGGUCUUUCAGACAUUGUGUCAUAUCAUUGUUUACUUGGGAGGAGGCCACCCAAGAAGCUCUGAUGCCCAGGAUGCUAAAGACAGCCCAGUGGAUGCUCACAUCACUACCACCACCUCGGGCACACAGGAACAGUGGGCUCACCGCCUCCAGAGCCCUGCUGUCCAUCUGUCCAUCCGUCCAUCAGUGCCACAGGAAGGGAGUCAGAUUUCCUGCUGCGCUUGGACAAGUCACUGACCUGCAGGAUCCAUUCUCUACCUCGGGGCAGCAUUGUAGAGUGGAAAGCUCCUGAAUUGCAAGCAGAAACCUGGGCCCAAGUGCUUUUCAAGUCAUUGCCCAGAUGUUGUUGACAUCAGAGAGAUUUCAUAAAUACAAGGGUCACAACAGCUGUCACGAGGAUCCUAUGACAGAAGUACCUUUACCAGUUCUAAUUCUGGAAGUAGUUCUGUAAAUGUCAACUCUCUCCCUUUUCAAAAGAAUCUCUUAAUACCUUUGAGAAAGAGGUAACUGUUAAGCCCAAGUCUCAGACACUUCUUUGCGCUCU